UUUUCCCUGCGGCGUUGGCGAAACUCUAAAAGUAUUUAUUCCUACAAAGUCCAAACAAGAGAAGCGCAGACGAGCAUCUGCUCGUGGGCAUAUGCCACUGCAUCUCACUUGAAAAAAGAGGGCUUAAAUCUUUUAGAAAGUAGCGGCGCCUGCGGGGUUUUU
rnacentral:other from 1 species